rnacentral:rRNA from 1 species
UACGAAGGGGGCUAGCGUUGCUCGGAAUCACUGGGCGUAAAGGGUGCGUAGGCGGGUCUUUAAGUCAGGGGUGAAAUCCUGGAGCUCAACUCCAGAGCUGCCCUUGAUACUGGCGGCCUUGAGUCCGGGAGAGGUGAGUGGAACUGCGAGUGUAGAGGUGAAAUUCGUAGAUAUUCGCAAGAACACCAGUGGCGAAGGCGGCUCACUGGCCCGGUACUGACGCUGAGGUGCGAAAGCGUGGGGAGCAAACAGG